rfam:Oryza punctata chromosome 7, whole genome shotgun sequence.
UUUAAGUGUAGUCAUAAGUUUCUGUGUCCAACUUUAAUCGUCCGUCUUAUUUAAAUUUUUUAUGAUUAGUAUUUUUAUUAUUAUUAGAUGAUAAAACAUGAAUAGUACUUAUGUUUUUUAAUUUUUUUCAAAAAAAUUUAUAUAAGAUGGAUGAUUAAAGUUGAACACGAAAACUUAUAGCUAUGAUUAAA